GACCUUGCGCUGAUUGAGCGGCCGAUAUCAGAUUAGCUAGUUGGUGAGGUAAAGGCUCACCAAGGCGACGAUCUGUAGCGGGUCUGAGAGGAUGAUCCGCCACACUGGAACUGAGACACGGUCCAGACUCCUACGGGAGGCAGCAGUGGGGAAUUUUGGACAAUGGGGGCAACCCUGAUCCAGCCAUGCCGCGUGAGUGAAGAAGGCCUUCGGGUUGUAAAGCUCUUUCGGCCGGGAAGAAAUCGUAUGGGUUAAUACCCUGUGCGGAUGACGGUACCGGCAUAAGAAGCACCGGCUAACUACGUGCCAGCAGCCGCGGUAAUACGUAGGGUACGAGCGUUAAUCGGAAUUACUGGGCGUAAAGCGUGCGCAGGCGGUUUUGUAAGACAGGCGUGAAAUCCCCGGGCUCAACCUGGGAACUGCGCUUGUGACUGCAAGGCUAGAGUACGGCAGAGGGGGGUGGAAUUCCACGUGUAGCAGUGAAAUGCGUAGAGAUGUGGAGGAACACCAAUGGCGAAGGCAGCCCCCUGGGUCGAUACUGACGCUCAUGCACGAAAGCGUGGGUAGCAAACAGGAUUAGAUACCCUGGUAGUCCACGCCCUAAACGAUGUCAACUAGGUGUUGGGUGGGUAAAACCAUUUAGUACCGGAGCUAACGCGUGAAGUUGACCGCCUGGGGAGUACGGCCGCAAGGUUAAAACUCAAAGGAAUUGACGGGGACCCGCACGAGUGGCGGAUGAUGUGGAUUAAUUCGAUGCAACGCGAAAAACCUUACCUACCCUUGACAUGUCCAGGAGCCUGAAGAGAUUUGGGUGUGCCCGAAAGGGAACUGGAACACAGGUGCUGCAUGGCUGUCGUCAGCUCGUGUCGUGAGAUGUUGGGUUAAGUCCCGCAACGAGCGCAACCCUUGUCGUUAAUUGCCAUCAUUUAGUUGGGCACUUUAACGAGACUGCCGGUGACAAACCGGAGGAAGGUGGGGAUGACGUCAAGUCCUCAUGGCCCUUAUGGGUAGGGCUUCACACGUCAUACAAUGGUCGGUACAAAGGGUCGCCAACCCGCGAGGGGGAGCCAAUCCCAGAAAGCCGAUCGUAGUCCGGAUCGUAGGCUGCAACUCGCCUGCGUGAAGUCGGAAUCGCUAGUAAUCGUGGAUCAGCAUGUCACGGUGAAUACGUCCCCGGGUCUUGUACACACCGCCCGUCACACCAUGGGAGCGGGUUCCGCCAGAAGUAGGUAGCCUAACCGCAAGGGGGGCGCUUACCACGGCGGGGUUCGUGACUGGGGUGAAGUCGAAACAAGGUA
rnacentral:rRNA from 1 species